rnacentral:rRNA from 1 species
UUAGAGUUUGAUCCUGGCUCAGAUUGAACGCUGGCGGCAGGCCUAACACAUGCAAGUCGAGCGGAAACGAGUUAUCUGAACCUUCGGGGGACGAUAACGGCGUCGAGCGGCGGACGGGUGAGUAAUGCCUAGGAAAUUGCCCUGAUGUGGGGGAUAACCAUUGGAAACGAUGGCUAAUACCGCAUGAUGCCUACGGGCCAAAGAGGGGGACCUUCGGGCCUCUCGCGUCAGGAUAUGCCUAGGUGGGAUUAGCUAGUUGGUGAGGUAAGGGCUCACCAAGGCAACGAUCCCUAGCUGGUCUGAGAGGAUGAUCAGCCACACUGGAACUGAGACACGGUCCAGACUCCUACGGGAGGCAGCAGUGGGGAAUAUUGCACAAUGGGCGCAAGCCUGAUGCAGCCAUGCCGCGUGUAUGAAGAAGGCCUUCGGGUUGUAAAGUACUUUCAGUCGUGAGGAAGGUAGUGUAGUUAAUAGCUGCAUUAUUUGACGUUAGCGACAGAAGAAGCACCGGCUAACUCCGUGCCAGCAGCCGCGGUAAUACGGAGGGUGCGAGCGUUAAUCGGAAUUACUGGGCGUAAAGCGCAUGCAGGUGGUUUGUUAAGUCAGAUGUGAAAGCCCGGGGCUCAACCUCGGAAUAGCAUUUGAAACUGGCAGACUAGAGUACUGUAGAGGGGGGUAGAAUUUCAGGUGUAGCGGUGAAAUGCGUAGAGAUCUGAAGGAAUACCGGUGGCGAAGGCGGCCCCCUGGACAGAUACUGACACUCAGAUGCGAAAGCGUGGGGAGCAAACAGGAUUAGAUACCCUGGUAGUCCACGCCGUAAACGAUGUCUACUUGGAGGUUGUGGCCUUGAGCCGUGGCUUUCGGAGCUAACGCGUUAAGUAGACCGCCUGGGGAGUACGGUCGCAAGAUUAAAACUCAAAUGAAUUGACGGGGGCCCGCACAAGCGGUGGAGCAUGUGGUUUAAUUCGAUGCAACGCGAAGAACCUUACCUACUCUUGACAUCCAGAGAACUUUCCAGAGAUGGAUUGGUGCCUUCGGGAACUCUGAGACAGGUGCUGCAUGGCUGUCGUCAGCUCGUGUUGUGAAAUGUUGGGUUAAGUCCCGCAACGAGCGCAACCCUUAUCCUUGUUUGCCAGCGAGUAAUGUCGGGAACUCCAGGGAGACUGCCGGUGAUAAACCGGAGGAAGGUGGGGACGACGUCAAGUCAUCAUGGCCCUUACGAGUAGGGCUACACACGUGCUACAAUGGCGCAUACAGAGGGCGGCCAACUUGCGAAAGUGAGCGAAUCCCAAAAAGUGCGUCGUAGUCCGGAUUGGAGUCUGCAACUCGACUCCAUGAAGUCGGAAUCGCUAGUAAUCGUGGAUCAGAAUGCCACGGUGAAUACGUUCCCGGGCCUUGUACACACCGCCCGUCACACCAUGGGAGUGGGCUGCAAAAGAAGUAGGUAGUUUAACCUUCGGGGGGACGCUUACCACUUUGUGGUUCAUGACUGGGGUGAAGUCGUAACAAGGUAACC